rnacentral:rRNA from 1 species
GCCAGCGUCCGUCGAUAGCCAAACAUUUAAACCCUGAAUAAAUCGUGUCUUGUGCCUAAUUCUAUGAUUAAAUCAAAAACAAAACUUUCAACAACGGAUCUCUUGGUUCUGGCAUCGAUGAAGAACGCAGCGAAAUGCGAUAAGUAAUGCGAAUUGCAGAAUUCCAGUGAGUCAUCGAAUCUUUGAACGCACAUUGCGCCCUUUGGUAUUCCGAAGGGCAUGCCUGUUCGAGCGUCAUUAUCACCCCUCAAGCCCCGUGCUUGGUGUUGGACGGGUUGGUCGGGGCUUCCCUCGACCCCUCCUAAAGACAAUGACGGCGGCCUGUGGUUCCCCCGGUACACUGAGCUUCUUAACCGAGCACGUACCGGACGAGGGCGCCCAGGCCACGGUCCUCUCCUUUCACCAGGAAUC